rnacentral:rRNA from 1 species
CUAGCUGUAAACGAUGGGUACUAGGUGUAGGGGUUUCGAUACCUCUGUGCCGCAGUUAACGCAGUAAGUACCCCGCCUGGGGAGUACGUGCGCAAGCAUGAAACUCAAAGGAAUUGACGGGGGCCCGCACAAGCGGUGGAGCAUGUGGUUUAAUUCGAAGCAACGCGAAGAACCUUACCAGGUCUUGACAUCACCUAGCAAGCCAUGGAAACAUGGCCCUCCUUCGGGACUGGGUGACAGGUGG